UAUCCGGAUUUACUGGGUGUAAAGGGAGCGUAGACGGUAGACCAAGUCUGAAGUGAAAGCCCGGGGCUCAACCCCGGAACUGCUUUGGAAACUGGUAAACUAGAGUGCAGGAGAGGUAAGUGGAAUUCCUAGUGUAGCGGUGAAAUGCGUAGAUAUUAGGAGGAACACCAGUGGCGAAGGCGGCUUACUGGACUGUAACUGACGUUGAGGCUCGAAAGCGUGGGGAGCAAACAGGAUUAGAUACC
rnacentral:rRNA from 1 species